UCAAAUUUUCGGGGGGGGGGCCCCCCCGGCGGGGGGUUUCU
rnacentral:rRNA from 1 species